rnacentral:misc_RNA from 1 species
GAUGAAGAACGUAGCGAAAUGCGAUAAGUAAUGUGAAUUGCAGAAUUCAGUGAAUCAUCGAAUCUUUGAACGCACAUUGCGCCCGCCAGUAUUCUGGCGGGCAUGCCUGUCUGAGCGUCAUUUCAACCCUCAUGCCCCUAGGGCGUGGUGUUGGGGAUCGGCCAAAGCCCGCGAGGGACGGCCGGCCCCUAAAUCUAGUGGCGGACCCGUCGUGGCCUCCUCUGCGAAGUAGUGAUAUUCCGCAUCGGAGAGCGAUGAGCCCCUGCCGUUAAACCCCCAACUUUCCAAGGUUGACCUCAGAUCAGGAAGGAAUACCCGCUGAACUUAAGCAUAUCAAUAAGCGGAGGA